ACUUCACUAUUGUAUAAUAUUUCAAUUAGUUGAAUAUAUUUUUUAACUAAUUUUAGUAUCAGAUUGUUUUGGGUAUCUGAGUAAGAUUGGGAAAGAAAAGGAGAUUGUGGAACUUUCAUGGUUGAGUUCCAGCACUCUAUACGUAUUCUGCCCUGUAGCAUGUACUCAUGCAGUUCCAACUUUUCUACAAGCUCGAUACAGGGAAAUGAACCUUUCUGUUCAAUAAAAAGUUUUUCUUUGCAUCUGGACCACUGCAUUUUAAAAGUGUUAAGAGGUGUCUUUAUGCUGGGAUCAUCACAGCUUACGCAUCUUUUCAACCUUUAAAGUCCUUCAGGAAGUUAGUGGCGAUUCGAAACCAGUUAACUGGGAUGAGAAUUAGAGUGAUUUGAAAUCAGAGAACAAGGAAUUGCAGGAUAUAAUGGUAAUGGUGAGGAUAAUAUGAUGAUAACACAAGUUCACUAUUUUGCAGAGAUUUUUGAAGACUGAUUUUUUUUUUUUCAUUUUUGCAUUUUUUAACAAGUGGUGUUCUGAUUUUUCAUUCCUUCUCAUCACUUCUACAAGAGGUAUGUUUCUGACCGAGAAAA